UACCGGUACAGAGUCAAUGUGGAGGCUAUAUACAGGGGUACCAGUACAGAGUCAAUGUGGAGGCUAUAUACAGGGGGUACCAGUACAGGGUCAAUGUGGAGGCUAUAUACAGGAGGUACCAGUACAGAGUCAAUGUGGAGGCUAUAUACAGGGGUACCGGUACAGAGUCAAUGUGGAGGCUAUAUACAGGGAGGUACCGGUACAGAGUCAAUGUGGAGACUAUAUACAGGGGGUACCGGUACAGAGUCAAUGUGGAGACUAUAUACAGGGGGUACCAGUACAGAGUCAAUGUGGAGGCUAUAUACAGGGGGUACCAGUACAGAGUCAAUGUGGAGGCUAUAUACAGGGGGUACCAGUACAGAGUCAAUGUGGAGGCUAUAUACAGGGGGUACCAGUACAGAGUCCAUGUGGAGGCUAUAUACAGGAGGUACCAGUACAGAGUCAAUGUGGAGACUAUAUACAGGGAGGUACCGGUACAGAGUCAAUGUGGAGGCUAUAUACAGGGAGGUACCGGUACAGAGUCAAUGUGGAGGCUAUAUACAGGGAGGUACCGGUACAGAGUCAAUGUGGAGACUAUAUACAGG
ensembl:lncRNA